UACGUAGGUGGCGAGCGUUGUCCGGAUUUACUGGGCGUAAAGAGCGCGCAGGCGGCUGGUCAAGUCCGAUGUGAAAGCUCCCGGCUUAACUGGGAAAUUGCAUCGGAAACUGAUCGGCUGGAAGGUGGGAGAGGGUAGCGGAAUUCCCGGUGUAGCGGUGAAAUGCGCAGAUAUCGGGAAGAACACCUAUGGCGAAGGCAGCUCUCUGGGACGGUACUGACGCUGAGACGCGAAAGCGUGGGGAGCGAACAGG
rnacentral:rRNA from 1 species